GAUGAACGCUGGCGGCGUGCCUAAUACAUGCAAGUCGAGCGAACAGAUGAGGAGCUUGCUCCUCUGACGUUAGCAGCGGACGGGUGAGUAACACGUGGAUAACCUACCUAUAAGACUGGGAUAACUUCGGGAAACCGGAGCUAAUACCGGAUAAUAUAUUGAACCGCAUGGUUCAAUAGUGAAAGACGGUUUUGCUGUCACUUAUAGAUGGAUCUGCGCCGCAUUAGCUAGUUGGUAAGGUAACGGCUUACCAAGGCAACGAUGCGUAGCCGACCUGAGAGGGUGAUCGGCCACACUGGAACUGAGACACGGUCCAGACUCCUACGGGAGGCAGCAGUAGGGAAUCUUCCGCAAUGGGCGAAAGCCUGACGGAGCAACGCCGCGUGAGUGAUGAAGGUCUUCGGAUCGUAAAACUCUGUUAUUAGGGAAGAACAAAUGUGUAAGUAACUAUGCACGUCUUGACGGUACCUAAUCAGAAAGCCACGGCUAACUACGUG
rnacentral:rRNA from 1 species